UGGUAUUUUGUCUCAAUGAUGGGAAAGCUGCCUACUACUAUACUCCACACCCUCUUUUUGUGUAGAGCAAGAUCUGGAAGAAAGCACAACAAAUGUUUUAACAGUAUUUCCGGGUGACGCAGAGAUGUCAAGCAGUUAUAAUGUCAAAAGACCACAGCAAAUUCUGCCCAUAAAUGGAAAUACACACUCUAUACAGCUGAAUAAUCCUGCCACCUGCCUGUAUGGAUUUCUGGAUGGCUUUUGGAUCUAUGGAGAUUAUCAUUUCAGACCGAGUACUCCAGACUGAAGAAUAGUGAUGACUUAAGGUGGCACAGAGGCUGAGGGGCAACCAGUUUGUAGCACUUGCCAGUUCCUAUUGUGCAAACACUCCAGCUGUGGUGGAAGUCAAGCUAACCUGAGUCACAGAAGGCAAAGCUGGGAAGAGAUGCGCACAAUCAGUUCUCAGGGGCCUGUCGGAGGCUUGUCACUAACUCCUUGGAAGCGA